UACGUAGGGCGCAAGCGUUGUCCGGAAUUAUUGGGCGUAAAGAGCUCGUAGGCGGCUUGUCACGUCGGUUGUGAAAGCCCGGGGCUUAACCCCGGGUCUGCAGUCGAUACGGGCUAGCUAGAGUGUGGUAGGGGAGAUCGGAAUUCCUGGUGUAGCGGUGAAAUGCGCAGAUAUCAGGAGGAACACCGGUGGCGAAGGCGGCUUCCUGGCCUGCAACUGACGCUGAGACGCGAAAGCGUGGGGAGCGAACCGG
rnacentral:rRNA from 1 species